rnacentral:lncRNA from 10 species
AUCAGAAGCAAUGAGAUUGAAUUAGUAGUAUAAAAUCUCCCAAGAAGAACAGCCUUACACAGGAUCACAUCAAAGCUCUAUUUCACAACCUUUUAAAGGAGAACUAACACAUAUUCUUCUCAAACUAUUCAAAAAAAUUGAAAAGGUAGUAAUUUAUACAAACCAAUUCUAUAUUAUAUUCAAUUCGCUUUAGAAAGAAGCCAACAUCACCCUGAUACUGAAAUCAGACAAAGACCCACAAAAAAAGAAAACUAAGAAAGAAAGAAAAAGAAAGAAAGGAAGAAAGAAAGAAAGAUAGAUGGAUAGUGAAUCAGAAUUGGAAAGGAGGAAGUCAAAUUGUCCCUGUUUGCAGACAACACAAUCUUAUCUAUUGAAAAAC